rnacentral:tRNA from 1 species
GGGGCAGUAGCUCAGUGGUAGAGCUCCCACUUCUUAUGCGGAAAGACCUGGGUUCGUUUCUCGGCUGCUUCC